rnacentral:misc_RNA from 1 species
GAUGAAGAACGUAGCAAAAUGCGAUAAGUAAUGUGAAUUGCAGAAUUCAGUGAAUCAUCGAAUCUUUGAACGCACAUUGCGCCCGCCAGUAUUCUGGCGGGCAUGCCUGUUCGAGCGUCAUUUCAACCCUCAAGCCCCCGGGUUUGGUGUUGGGGAUCGGCGAGCCUCACGGCAAGCCGGCCCCGAAAUACAGUGGCGGUCUCGCUGCAGCUUCCAUUGCGUAGUAGUAAAACCCUCGCAACUGGUACGCGGCGCGGCCAAGCCGUUAAACCCCCAACUUCUGAAUGUUGACCUCGGAUCAGGUAGGAAUACCCGCUGAACUUAAGCAUAUCAAUAAGCGGAGGA